rnacentral:misc_RNA from 1 species
AACGCACAUUGCGCCCUCUGGUAUUCCGGGGGGCAUGCCUGUUCGAGCGUCAUUAUAACCACUCAAGCUCUCGCUUGGUAUUGGGGUUCGCGGUUUCGCGGCCCCUAAACUCAGUGGCGGUGCCUGUCGGCUCUACGCGUAGUAAUACUCCUCGCGAUUGAGUCCGGUAGGUCUACUUGCCAGCAACCCCCAAUUUUUUACAGGUUGACCUCGGAUCAGGUAGGGAUACCCGCUGAACUUAA